GUUGGUAUAGUUUAGUUGGUUAGAGUGUGUGGCUGUUAAUUAUAAGGUCAGAGGUUUAAGCCUUCUUUCUAACG
rnacentral:tRNA from 1 species